AUGAGAGAGCAGAGACAUUUCCUGAAAUCAUUUUGUGAUCUUCCUCUGGCAAAAUGUUUAUUUGCCAGUGAAUUCAGUGGACGAGCAUGGAGAACAAUGAAUGUGCUGGUAUUACGUAUGUGCCACGAAUGUAAGUUUUGGAUAGACGUUGACUAUGGCAAUACUGUGCCACAGACUUUUUUGUUCUUUGCAGCUGAGCUUCAGAGACAGAAACUAUGCUUGAUUGCACAAUGUCUCCCAUAGAAAUUAUAAGGAGAAUGCCAUGCUCUAAUUGUGAUUAUUUACACAGAACACCCCAGCUCCCUGUUUCCCCUCUGGCUUUUCUUAAGCAAGCAAUUUAUUCACAACAGUUUUAAAUUUAAAAUCAAUAUUUCUAUUAAAGUAGUUUUACACUUUUCAUCUUUAUGAAUGGACAAGUCUUAGAAGGGAAUCCAACUGCGCUUAAGCGGGAAGACGAGGCUAUUGAUAAAACACAUUCUAGAGGCAUCUAUGAAAAUGAAGUAUUUCUGUUUAUCUUUAAACACAGAAAUAAAUGUGAAUGGACAUAAAAUGUAACUUGUAUC
rnacentral:lncRNA from 1 species